UGGGGAUUAUGUCCACUAAAUUUUUGUCCUGAUACCACUCUACGCACAGAAAAAGUCUACAAUAUAAAUGAUUAUAUGAAUAACAUAGUGUUUUUAAUCAAUUAAAUUACUCUUCUAAAAUUUACUAAUUUUAUUAUAUUUUUUAAAAAAUAUUAUUUUUAUAAUUUUCUAUAAAAAUAAAAAUAAAAAUAUAAAUAUAAUUGAUUGGAUAUAAAUAAUAGGGAAAACUUAAAAAAAAACCCUGUGGUUUCGCCCUUUUUCAUUUUAGUACCCUGUAGUUUAAAGUGAAUCAAGUUAGUAUCUUGUGGUUUAAAGUGAAUCAAGUUAGUACCAUGUGGUUUCUCACUUUAUCACUUUUGUACCCUGUGGUUUAAGGUGUAUCAAAUUAGUACUCUGUGAUUUUAUUUUUGUAUCAAGUUAGUACCCGGUGGUUUUAUUUUUUUAUCAAGUUAGUACCCUGUGAUUUUUAAAUCACAGGGUACUAAAGUGAUAAAGUGCGAAACCACAGGGUACUAACUUGAUACACUUUAAACCACAGGGUGCUAAAGUGAUAAAGUGAGAAAUCACAGGGUACUAAUUUGAUACACUUUAAACCUCCGGAUACUAAAAUAAAAAAAAAAUGAAACCACAAAAAGUAUUUAAUUUCUAAAUAAUAUAAUAAUAUAAUGUGACUGUCACAUAAUGAACC
rnacentral:lncRNA from 1 species